rnacentral:rRNA from 1 species
GUCUGCAUGGAGCCGACCUUGAAAUACCACCCUUUAAUGUUUGAUGUUCUAACGUGGACCCGUAAUCCGGGUUGCGGACAGUGUCUGGUGGGUAGUUUGACUGGGGCGGUCUCCUCCUAAAGAGUAACGGAGGAGCACGAAGGUUGGCUAAUCCUGGUCGGACAUCAGGAGGUUAGUGCAAUGGCAUAAGCCAGCUUGACUGCGAGCGUGACGGCGCGAGCAGGUGCGAAAGCAGGUCAUAGUGAUCCGGUGGUUCUGAAUGGAAGGGCCAUCGCUCAACGGAUAAAAGGUACUCCGGGGAUAACAGGCUGAUACCGCCCAAGAGUUCAUAUCGACGGCGGUGUUUGGCACCUCGAUGUCGGCUCAUCACAUCCUGGGGCUGAAGUAGGUCCCAAGGGUAUGGCUGUUCGCCAUUUAAAGUGGUACGCGAGCUGGGUUUAGAACGUCGUGAGACAGUUCGGUCCCUAUCUGCCGUGGGCGCUGGAGAACUGAGGGGGGCUGCUCCUAGUACGAGAGGACCGGAGUGGACGCAUCACUGGUGUUCGGGUUGUCAUGCCAAUGGCACUGCCCGGUAGCUAAAUGCGGAAGAGAUAAGUGCUGAAAGCAUCUAAGCACGAAACUUGCCCCGAGAU